AGAGUUUGAUCCUGGCUCAGGAUGAACGCUAGCGGCAGGCUUAACACAUGCAAGUCGAGGGGCAUCGGGAGGGAAGCUUGCUUUCCUUGCCGGCGACCGGCGCACGGGUGAGUAACACGUAUGCAACCUGCCCUCUUCAGGGGGACAACCUUCCGAAAGGGAGGCUAAUCCCGCGUAUAUCGGUUUCGGGCAUCCGAGAUCGAGGAAAGAUUCAUCGGAAGAGGAUGGGCAUGCGGCGCAUUAGCUUGACGGCGGGGUAACGGCCCACCGUGGCGACGAUGCGUAGGGGUUCUGAGAGGAAGGUCCCCCACACUGGUACUGAGACACGGACCAGACUCCUACGGGAGGCAGCAGUGAGGAAUAUUGGUCAAUGGGAGAGAUCCUGAACCAGCCAAGCCGCGUGAGGGAAGACGGCCCUAUGGGUUGUAAACCUCUUUUGUCGGAGAACAAAACCCGGGACGUGUCCCGGACUGCGUGUAUCCGAAGAAAAAGCAUCGGCUAACUCCGUGCCAGCAGCCGCGGUAAUACGGAGGAUGCGAGCGUUAUCCGGAUUUAUUGGGUUUAAAGGGUGCGUAGGCGGUCCGUUAAGUCAGCGGUAAAAUUGCGGGGCUCAACCCCGUCGAGCCGUUGAAACUGGCAGACUUGAGUUGGCGAGAAGUACGCGGAAUGCGCGGUGUAGCGGUGAAAUGCAUAGAUAUCGCGCAGAACUCCGAUUGCGAAGGCAGCGUACCGGCGCCAGACUGACGCUGAGGCACGAAAGCGUGGGGAUCGAACAGGAUUAGAUACCCUGGUAGUCCACGCAGUAAACGAUGAAUGCUGGUUGUCCGGGUCGAAUGAGAUCUGGGCGGCGAAGCGAAAGCGAUAAGCAUUCCACCUGGGGAGUACGCCGGCAACGGUGAAACUCAAAGGAAUUGACGGGGGCCCGCACAAGCGGAGGAACAUGUGGUUUAAUUCGAUGAUACGCGAGGAACCUUACCCGGGCUCAAACGGGAGUGGAAUGGACCAGAGACGGUUCAGCCUACGGGCCGCUUCCGAGGUGCUGCAUGGUUGUCGUCAGCUCGUGCCGUGAGGUGUCGGCUUAAGUGCCAUAACGAGCGCAACCCCCGCCGGCAGUUGCUAACGGGCAAUGCCGAGGACUCUGCCGGGACUGCCGCCGCAAGGCGAGAGGAAGGCGGGGAUGACGUCAAAUCAGCACGGCCCUUACGUCCGGGGCGACACACGUGUUACAAUGGGCGGUACAGCGGGAAGCCAGGCGGCGACGCCGAGCGGAACCCGAAAGCCGUUCUCAGUUCGGAUUGUAGUCUGCAACCCGGCUACAUGAAGCUGGAAUCGCUAGUAAUCGCGGAUCAGAAUGCCGCGGUGAAUACGUUCCCGGGUCUUGUACACACCGCCCGUCA
rnacentral:rRNA from 1 species